GUUUUUUCCUACACAUACAUACCUAUGGUGAAUGUUAAUUUAUAAAUUAGCCACAGUAAGAGAUUAACAAUAACAAUAAUAAAAUAGAACAUUUAUAACAAUAUGCCAAUAUCACUACUCUUGCACUUUUGGGAGCAUUAUUAAGGCAAAGAAGAGUUACUGGGACACAAACACUGUGAUUCUGUGACAGUGGAUCUGAUAACUGAGGCGUCUCUAAGUGACUAACUUGGUGGGGAGUGUCGGCAGCAUGGACAUGCUGGAAAAGGGAUGAUUCACAUCCCGGGCAGGACAGAGCAGGACAGCACAGUAUUUCAUCAUGCUCAUCACGCUACUCAGAACAGCCACGAUUUAAAACUUACGAAUUGUUUAUUAGCAGAAUUUCCAUUUGGUGUUUUUGGACCGAGGCUGACCUCGGGUAACUGAAACUGUGCGUGGAUAAGGGGGACUACUGUACUAUCUGAUUGCUGGGCUGGACAGCAGUGUGUGCCAGAUGAUAGAACUGAGGACUAGAGACGAA
rnacentral:lncRNA from 10 species